rnacentral:rRNA from 1 species
UACGUAGGGAGCAAGCGUUGUCCGGAAUCAUUGGGCGUAAAGCGCGCGUAGGUGGCUUCGUAAGUCCGUUGUGAAAGUCAAAGGCUCAACCUUUGAAAGCCGAUGGAUACUGCGGAGCUAGAGUACGGAAGAGGCGAGUGGAAUUCCUGGUGUGGCGGUGAAAUGCGCAGAUAUCGGGAGGAACACCGGUGGCGAAGGCGGUUCUCUGGGCCUUACCUGACGCUGAGGAGCGAAAGCGUGGGGAGCGAACAGG